UGUUUACCAAAUUCAGUAAGCUUUUUUCUGAAGCUUGUGCGUGAUCGUUGAACAAAAAAUACCGCGAUUCAACCGGAAUAUACGGAAAAACUUGCAGUUCCCCAGAUUCCAAGAAUGGGUACGCCAGAGACGAGUAUCCAAGGACUUCAGAUACGAUGGACGCUGAUACGAACCCGAAUAAUAUCUGGAUUGCGCAUCGAUUUGGAUCGGCAGAAAACGAGGCUGCUGAGUCCGCGCUGUGAUUCCGUCACUUCCUGCAUUCAGUCAAUCAUUGGCUUUUCACCCCGGAUUCGAUUACCAAUGUGACGCCUGGUAUUCACUAUGCUGGGAGGCGAAGCUGUCAUCAACGAUUUUCAGUAUUUGGCAAAGCGGACAAAACGACAAGCAGACUGGAUGAAGCGAUUGGCGAAGGAAGCGCAUAAACGUAGCGGAACAAAAUAGCAGCAGGUUGGAGAUGCACAAAUCAACCGUCAAAUGGAAAGCAGCACAAGCAAUCAGUCAGCAACAAGAAGAAUCAACAGAAAACGUUAUCGUUGGAGCGCUCGGUGGAGGACAUUUCCAUUCGAGCAUACAGUUCUCAAUGUUCGGAAACUAAACCGCUGAAUGUCUCUUUUAAACUGGUGGGGUAUACUCCGACUUGGCCAACAAGAGCGAAUCGGUCGUCUCCAUCAUCAACGUUAGGCGAGGUGGUCUACCAGAAGGAACACAUCCUGAUUCACAAUCGGACGCUAAGGACGAAAUACUGCAAGCUCAAGGCCAUGUUCGUAGAAGGCGAAACGAAAUUGAUUUGAAGGAGGGUCCAGAAAAGAUUGACGCAUUGGAAGCGUUUUUCCCCUUUGUGUCCGACGAUGAUAGAUCCGUUGAGGAGCGUUUCGUGUUCGCUCCGGCACCAUCCUAGAGCAUGGCAAGGAAUCGAAAUCGCAGAAAGAGGAAAACGAAAAAAGUGGAAUGAUUUAGCUUCGGAGAAGGUACUGGCUGAAAAUAUGACUACCGGGCGACCAGAGCAAUGGACGGGACUGGAUCAGCAAGUUGACGUGAACCCGUUGAAGCUCAGCGAUAGGUUGUCGAGCGCAUCGUAUUUCCGUUGAAUGGUUGACAACUGUGACCACAGGAACAACGGUGGCAAU